AUUAGUGGCGAACGGGUGAGUAACACGUGGGCAAUCUGCCCUUCACUCUGGGACAAGCCCUGGAAACGGGGUCUAAUACCGGAUACGACCUGCCAAGGCAUCUUGGUGGGUGGAAAGCUCCGGCGGUGAAGGAUGAGCCCGCGGCCUAUCAGCUUGUUGGUGAGGUAACGGCUCACCAAGGCGACGACGGGUAGCCGGCCUGAGAGGGCGACCGGCCACACUGGGACUGAGACACGGCCCAGACUCCUACGGGAGGCAGCAGUGGGGAAUAUUGCACAAUGGGCGAAAGCCUGAUGCAGCGACGCCGCGUGAGGGAUGACGGCCUUCGGGUUGUAAACCUCUUUCAGCAGGGAAGAAGCGAAAGUGACGGUACCUGCAGAAGAAGCGCCGGCUAACUACGUGCCAGCAGCCGCGGUAAUACGUAGGGCGCAAGCGUUGUCCGGAAUUAUUGGGCGUAAAGAGCUCGUAGGCGGCUUGUCACGUCGGUUGUGAAAGCCCGGGGCUUAACCCCGGGUCUGCAGUCGAUACGGGCAGGCUAGAGUUCGGUAGGGGAGAUCGGAAUUCCUGGUGUAGCGGUGAAAUGCGCAGAUAUCAGGAGGAACACCGGUGGCGAAGGCGGAUCUCUGGGCCGAUACUGACGCUGAGGAGCGAAAGCGUGGGGAGCGAACAGGAUUAGAUACCCUGGUAGUCCACGCCGUAAACGGUGGGCACUAGGUGUGGGCAACAUUCCACGUUGUCCGUGCCGCAGCUAACGCAUUAAGUGCCCCGCCUGGGGAGUACGGCCGCAAGGCUAAAACUCAAAGGAAUUGACGGGGCCCGCACAAGCGGCGGGAGCAUGUGGCUUSAUUUCGACGCAACGCGAAGAACCUUACCAAGGCUUGACAUACACCGGAAAGCAUCAGAGAUGGUGCCCCCCUUGUGGUCGGUGUACAGGUGGGUGCAUGG
rnacentral:rRNA from 1 species